rnacentral:tRNA from 1 species
AAGGAUUUAAGUUAAAAUUAAACUAUUAACCUUCAAAGUUAAAAAUAGAGAAAAUCUAACCCUUA